rnacentral:rRNA from 1 species
ACCGGCGCACGGGUGCGUAACGCGUAUGCAAUCUACCUUGUACAGGGGGAUAGCCCAGAGAAAUUUGGAUUAAUACCCCAUAGUAUCUUCGGAAGGCAUCUUCUGAUUAUUAAAGUUCCAACGGUACAAGGUGAGCAUGCGUCCCAUUAGCUAGUUGGUGUGGUAACGGCACACCAAGGCAACGAUGGGUAGGGGUCCUGAGAGGGAGAUCCCCCACACUGGUACUGAGACACGGACCAGACUCCUACGGGAGGCAGCAGUGAGGAAUAUUGGUCAAUGGACGCAAGUCUGAACCAGCCAUGCCGCGUGCAGGAUGACGGUCCUAUGGAUUGUAAACUGCUUUUGUACAGGAAGAAACACUCCCUCGUGAGGGAGCUUGACGGUACUGUAAGAAUAAGGAUCGGCUAACUCCGUGCCAGCAGCCGCGGUAAUACGGAGGAUCCAAGCGUUAUCCGGAAUCAUUGGGUUUAAAGGGUCCGUAGGCGGUUUUAUAAGUCAGUGGUGAAAGCCAGCAGCUCAACUGUUGAACGGCCAUUGAUACUGUAAGACUUGAAUUACUUGGAAGUAACUAGAAUAUGUAGUGUAGCGGUGAAAUGCUUAGAGAUUACAUGGAAUACCAAUUGCGAAGGCAGGUUACUACGAGUAUAUUGACGCUGAUGGACGAAAGCGUGGGGAGCGAACAGGAUUAGAUACCCUGGUA